UACGGGGGGGGCAAGCGUUGUUCGGAAUUACUGGGCGUAAAGGGCCCGUAGGCGGCCGGCUAAGUCCGACGUGAAAUCCCCAGGCUUAACCUGGGAACUGCGUCGGAUACUGGCUGGCUUGAAUUCGGGAGAGGGAUGCAGAAUUCCAGGUGUAGCGGUGAAAUGCGUAGAUAUCUGGAGGAAUACCGGUGGCGAAGGCGGCAUCCUGGACCGAGAUUGACACUGAUGAGCGAAAGCCAGGGGAGCAAACGGG
rnacentral:rRNA from 1 species